rnacentral:rRNA from 1 species
AAAGAUUAAGCCAUGCAUGUCUAAGUAUAAGCAAUUAUACCGCGAAACUGCGAAUGGCUCAUUAAAUCAGUUAUCGUUUAUUUGAUAGUACCUUACUACAUGGAUAACCGUGGUAAUUCUAGAGCUAAUACAUGCUGAAAAUCCCGACUUCGGAAGGGAUGUGUUUAUUAGAUAAAAAACCAAUGCCCUUCGGGGCUCUUUGGUGAUUCAUGAUAACUUUACGGAUCGCAUAGCCUUGCGCCGGCGAUGGUUCAUUCAAAUUUCUGCCCUAUCAACUUUCGAUGGUAGGAUAGUGGCCUACCAUGGUUU